GGCGGACGGGUGAGUAACGCGUGAGAAUCUACCUUCAGACGGAGACAACAGUUGGAAACGACUGCUAACCCCCGAUGUACUGAAAAGGCAAAUAUUUAUAGCCUGAAGAAGAGCUCGCGUCCGAUUAGCUAGUUGGAGAGGUAAAAGCUCACCAAGGCGACGAUCGGUAGCUGGUCUGAGAGGACGAUCAGCCACACUGGGACUGAGACACGGCCCAG
rnacentral:rRNA from 1 species